rnacentral:tRNA from 1 species
GGAGAGGUGGCAGAGUGGUCGAAUGCACCGGUCUUGAAAACCGGCAGACCGAAAGGUCUCGUGGGUUCGAAUCCCACCCUCUCUGCCA